GACGAACGCUGGCGGCGUGCUUAACACAUGCAAGUCGAACGCUGAAGCCCUUUCGGGGGUGGAUGAGUGGCGAACGGGUGAGUAACACGUGGGUAAUCUGCCCUGCACUCUGGGAUAAGCCUUGGAAACGGGGUCUAAUACCGGAUAGGACACAUCGCCGCAUGGUGUGUGUGUGGAAAGUUCCGGCGGUGCAGGUUGAGCCCGCGGCCUAUCAGCUUGUUGGUGGGGUGAUGGCCUACCAAGGCGACGACGGGUAGCCGGCCUGAGAGGGUGACCGGCCACACUGGGACUGAGACACGGCCCGGACUCCUACGGGAGGCAGCAGUGGGGAAUCUUGCGCAAUGGGCGAAAGCCUGACGCAGCAACGCCGCGUGGGGGAUGACGGCCUUCGGGUUGUAAACCUCUUUCGACCGGGACGAAGGGUGACUGACGGUACCGGUAGAAGAAGCACCGGCUAACUACGUGCCAGCAGCCGCGGUAA
rnacentral:rRNA from 1 species